GAAGAGCCUCCUUCGUUUGAUUCAGAAGAUCAACAAAGCCUUUAGUGAUGCUGCUGUUAAAGACUCGCAGGUUACUUUCCUCAUUCACAGUACAUCAAUUUGAACUUGAAGGAACUCAACAUAACAAUCUGUGCAUAUAAUAUUGCAUUCAGAACAUUGAAAUCCUUCAACCCACUUCGUCUUGAAUAAUUCAGAUUUUAAUUCUGGUUGAAGAUCGAAACAAAAUGACAAAAAGCUAUUUGGAGCAACAUCAACAAUUUGCUGAGAGUUCCAGGACGCAGAUCACUGUGCCAUUAUGGAUAAAAGCAGACAACAGCUAAACUGUUAGAUUCAGGUCUCACCAUUCUCAUAACCUAAGGAUUCUAAAAUAAUUGUAAACUGCAACUAAGUGUACCUUCCAUGCAACAGCUGGCUGACCCUUUGUUUUCUUCAGUUUGUUAUCUGAAUAUGCAUGUAGUUGGAAUCAGUAGUUACAGGGAAAAAAAUCAGGAAAAUGAUGCCGAGGAUGAUUACUCACAGUAAAAAAUAAGAAGGCAGCCCGGGAGAAGGCAGCAGAUUCAGGAAAAAGGGGAAGAAAAGCUGAAGGAAGAUGAGAAGACCAUCUGUAUGGACUUUAACAGAUUAAUUGCUAAUUUACUUGUGUUUUGGAACAGCAUAUUAACAGAAUUGUGGUCAGCUAGGGGAUAGUGGUUAGUUAAAGGAAAGAAUGUUUGGUUUGUUAAUAGUUUUGUUAGUGUUCAC